AUGUCUCCGACAACAUAUGGACUAGGCUUGUUCUUCAUCUUAUUUCCAUGUCAUGUAAAGUGUGUUGCGUUUCGUCAGUUUCCAUCCCUGACAGUGAAGGCUGGGCGCGAGGCGGAGAUCCACUGCAGCCACGAUGACAGUAACCUGGUGGUGAUGUUGUGGUACCAACAGAGACAGGCCAGUCCUGGUGUGACUCUGAUAGGGUACGGUUACAGCACCACUAAGCCUAACUACGAGGGUCUGUUCGAGGAGAGGUUCAGGCUGAAGAGACAGGGAGACCUGAAGGGAACUCUCAUCAUCUCCAACCUGACGUUAGCAGACUCUGCAGUGUAUUUCUGCGCAGCCAGUCGCACAGUGAUGUGGCUUUACGUCACCCCCUCACUAAAAACCUGA